rnacentral:rRNA from 1 species
ACAGAGGGUGCGAGCGUUGUUCGGAAUUAUUGGGCGUAAAGGGCGCGUAGGCGGUGCGGUAAGUCACCUGUGAAACCUCUGGGCUUAACUCAGAGCCUGCAGGCGAAACUACCGUGCUGGAGUGUGGGAGAGGUGCGUGGAAUUCCCGGUGUAGCGGUGAAAUGCGUAGAUAUCGGGAGGAACGCCGGUGGCGAAAGCGAUUCUCUGGUCCUCUCCUGACACUGAUGCGCGAGAGCUAGGGGAGCAAACAGGA